GCAUGGGGGCACCCUGACGCAGCAACGCCGCGUGAAGGAUGAAGGUUUUCCNAUUGUAAACUUCUUUUAUUAAGGACGAAAAACGACGGUACUUAAUGAAUAAGCUCCGGCUAACUACGUGCCAGCAGCCGCGGUAAUACGUAGGGAGCAAGCGUUGUCCGGAUUUACUGGGUGUAAAGGGAGCGUAGACGGACUGGCAAGUCUGAUGUGAAAGGCGGGGGCUCAACCCCUGGACUGCAUUGGAAACUGUUAGUCUUGAGUGCCGGAGAGGUAAGCGGAAUUCCUAGUGUAGCGGUGAAAUGCGUAGAUAUUAGGAGGAACACCAGUGGCGAAGGCGGCUUACUGGACGGUAACUGACGUUGAGGCUCGAAAGCGUGGGGAGCAAACAGGAUUAGAUACCCUGGUAGUCCAAGGGCGAAUUC
rnacentral:rRNA from 1 species